rnacentral:rRNA from 1 species
UACGUAGGGUGCAAGCGUUGUCCGGAAUUAUUGGGCGUAAAGAGCUCGUAGGCGGUUUGUCGCGUCUGCUGUGAAAACUCGGGGCUUAACCCCGGGCCUGCAGUGGGUACGGGCAGACUAGAGUGCGGUAGGGGAGACUGGAAUUCCUGGUGUAGCGGUGAAAUGCGCAGAUAUCAGGAGGAACACCCGUGGCGAAGGCGGCUCUCUGGGACGGUACUGACGCUGAGACGCGAAAGCGUGGGGAGCGAACAGG